GAUGAACGCUGGCGGCGUGCUUAACACAUGCAAGUCGAGCGAGUGAGUUCUUCGGAACGAUCUAGCGGCGGACGGGUGAGUAACACGUGGGCAACCUGCCUCAUAGAGGGGGAUAGCCUCCUGAAAGGGAGAUUAACACCGCAUAACAUCGUUGAAGGGCAUCCAUCGAUGAUCAAAGGAGCAAUCCGCUAUGAGAUGGGCCCGCGGCGCAUUAGCUAGUUGGUGAGGUAACGGCUCACCAAGGCGACGAUGCGUAGCCGACCUGAGAGGGUGAUCGGCCACAUUGGGACUGAGACACGGCCCAGACUCCUACGGGAGGCAGCAGUGGGGAAUAUUGCACAAUGGGGGAAACCCUGAUGCAGCAACGCCGCGUGAGUGAUGACGGCCUUCGGGUUGUAAAGCUCUGUCUUUGGGGACGAUAAUGACGGUACCCAAGGAGGAAGUCACGGCUAACUACGUGCCAGCCGCCGCAGUAA
rnacentral:rRNA from 1 species